GUCCCCAAUGUGCAUGACGAUGGAAUUUGGAACGCACUUGGCAGUGACCCACUUUCCUUCAUAGAAAAGCUGCAGGCCAGGAACCAUGUUGUGGAGGAUGAAGGUGAGUGCACUCACGUCAGUGUGAGCUUCAACACCAAGUGCAAGCUCCGGCUGAGGGCAUUUUGGGUAGUAGUUGAUUUUCAUUUGCAAGAGGAGCUCUUCAAGUCCACCAACUUCUUUCUCCAGCCUCCCUUCAUCCAAUCCCAAGCCAAGUGACAGAACUUUCAGUACCUUGGUUGCUAGCUCCCUCAAUUGCUUAGCAUACUCGGCGGUUGCCUCACUGCCAAGGUAUUAAAGAUUGAUGUUAACAAGAGUAAGCGGCGGAACCAGAAUUACUUGUGGGGAGGAGGGCCUUUUACAAAUAUAUAAAACUAUUGACAAUUUUAAUCAGUUCGGGGAUAUAAUUAAAAUUUUAGGCUAGGAUUUAUGAUUGUGACACCAAUUAAGCAUGCUAAGAUUUUUAAGUACUUACAUGUAAUCAGCAGGUGUUUGAGGCCAAAUAGACAAGUCACGCUUGUCCUCUGGGUAUACACAGUGGAAGAAGUAGUCCUCCCACUCAAGCUGCCCAGAUGCAUUGUUUGCAAGCUUGCUUCCAUAGCCUUGAAUCUUACCAGAGGCCUGGUCAUUGGCAUACUUCUCCUUCUGCUCAAUGGGAAGGUCAAAGAAGGCCUUACCGGCCUUCCUGACCUUGUCCAUGAGCUCGUCGGAGAUGCCAUGGUUCACAAGGUGCAUGACACCCCAGUCCACAGCUGCCUUCUUCAACUUCUCCCUGCAUUUUGCUCUCACUUUUUCGUUAUCAGACUCUAUCUCCUUCAAAUCGAUGGUGGGAACUUGAGGCCCUUCGUUGUUCUUCUCUUGUUCGAAG
rnacentral:lncRNA from 1 species